GGGGAAUAUUGGACAAUGGGCGCAAGCCUGAUCCAGCCAUGCCGCGUGGGUGAAGAAGGCCUUCGGGUUGUAAAGCCCUUUUGUUGGGAAAGAAAAGCAGCCGGCCAAUACCCGGUUGUUCUGACGGUACCCAAAGAAUAAGCCCCGGCUAACUACGUGCCAGCAGCCGCGGUAACACGUAGGGGGCGAGCGUUGUUCGGAAUCAUUGGGCGUAAAGGGCGCGCAGGCGGCGAGGCAAGUCCGGUGUGAAAGUGCUCGGCUCAACCGAGUGAUGCGCUGGAAACUGCCCUGCUUGAGUACAGGAGGGGACGUCGGAAUUCCAGGUGUAGGGGUGAAAUCUGUAGAUAUCUGGAAGAACACCGGUGGCGAAGGCGGACGUCUGGCCAUGUACUGACGCUGAGGCGCGAAGGUGCGGGGAGCGAACA
rnacentral:rRNA from 1 species